UGCCUUACACAAUAAUGAAGUUAUGCCGCGCUGCCUCAAAAAAAAGUAAGAGCAUCAACUGCCGGUGCUCUGAAUGCUUCCGAUCAGGGAAGUAUCACAAAUCAAUAUUUAAGCGGAUUUCAAACUUCUCCACGUGUAGUAACUUGACAUUGAUUCUUCUUUGGAUCAUCAUGAUAUUCCUGGUUUAUUACAUAAAAAAUAUGAGUCGUGAGAUUCAAGUUUUUGAUCCUUAUUCUAUACUUGAAUUGGAACCUGGAGCUUCAGAGUCAGAAAUUAAAAAGCGUUACAGGAGACUCUCAAUUCUAUACCAUCCUGAUAAAAAUCCAGAUCCAGAGGCCCACAAAUAUUUUGUGGAGUCAAUAACAAA
rnacentral:misc_RNA from 1 species